GCGGGUGUAGUUUAGUGGUAAAACUACAGCCUUCCAAGCUGUUGUCGUCGGUUCGAUCCCGAUCACCCGCU
rfam:Brochothrix thermosphacta DSM 20171 = FSL F6-1036 c27, whole genome shotgun sequence.